rnacentral:rRNA from 1 species
UACGAAGGUGGCAAGCGUUGUUCGGAUUCACUGGGCGUACAGGGUGUGUAGGCGGUUUGGUAAGCCUUCUGUUAAAGCUUCGGGCCCAACCCGGAAAGCGCAGAGGGUACUGCCAGGCUAGAGGGCGGGAGAGGAGAGUGGAAUUCCUGGUGUAGCGGUGAAAUGCGUAGAUAUCAGGAGGAACACCGGUGGUGUAGACGGCUUUCUGGACCGUAACUGACGCUGAAACACGAAAGCGUGGGUAGCAAACAGG